rnacentral:rRNA from 1 species
AGAGUUUGAUCAUGGCUCAGGAUGAACGCUAGCGGCAGGCUUAAUACAUGCAAGUCGUGGGGCAGCACAGGUAGCAAUACUGGGUGGCGACCGGCAAACGGGUGCGGAACACGUACGCAACCUUCCUUUAAGCGGGGAAUAGCCCAGGGAAACUUGGAUUAAUACCCCAUAAGACAAUGGUGUGGCAUCACACAGUUGUUAAAGCUCCGGCACUUAAAGAUGGGCGUGCGGCUGAUUAGGUAGUUGGCGGGGUAACGGCCCACCAAGCCGACGAUCAGUAACUGGUGUGAGAGCACGACCAGUCACACGGGCACUGAGACACGGGCCCGACUCCUACGGGAGGCAGCAGUAAGGAAUAUUGGUCAAUGGACGCAAGUCUGAACCAGCCAUGCCGCGUGGAGGAUGAAGGCCCUCUGGGUUGUAAACUUCUUUUAUUGGGGAAGAAACCUGUUUUUUCUAAAGCAGUUGACGGUACCCGAUGAAUAAGCACCGGCUAACUCCGUGCCAGCAGCCGCGGUAAUACGGAGGGUGCAAGCGUUAUCCGGAUUCACUGGGUUUAAAGGGUGCGUAGGUGGGCAGGUAAGUCAGUGGUGAAAUCUCUGGGCUUAACCCAGAAACUGCCGUUGAUACUAUCUGUCUUGAAUGUAGUGGAGGUGAGCGGAAUAUGUCAUGUAGCGGUGAAAUGCUUAGAUAUGACAUAGAACAUCUAUUGCGAAGGCAGCUCGCUACACUAUUAUUGACACUGAGGCACGAAAGCGUGGGGAUCAAACAGGAUUAGAUACCCUAGUAGUCC